rnacentral:rRNA from 1 species
AGCGAACGCUGGCGGCAGGCCUAUCACAUGCAAGUCGAACGAACUCUUCGGAGUUAGUGGCGGACGGGUGAGUAACACGUGGGAACGUGCCCUUAGGUUCGGAAUAACUCAGGGAAACUUGUGCUAAUACCGAAUGUGCCCUUCGGGGGAAAGAUUUAUCGCCUUUGGAGCGGCCCGCGUUUGAUUAGCUAGUUGGUGGGGUAAAGGCCCACCAAGGCGACGAUCAAUAGCUGGUCUGAGAGGAUGAUCAGCCACACUGGGACUGAGACACGGCCCAAACUCCUACGGGAGGCAGCAGUGGGGAAUCUUGCGCAAUGGGCGAAAGCCUGACGCAGCCAUGCCGCGUGAAUGAUGAAGGUCUUAGGAUUGUAAAAUUCUUUCACCGGGGACGAUAAUGACGGUACCCGGAGAAGAAGCCCCGGCUAACUUCGUG